UACGAACUGUGCAAACGUUAUUCGGAAUCACUGGGCUUAAAGGGUGCGUAGGCGGCUUAUCAAGUAGGGUGUGAAAGCCCCCGGCUUAACCGGGGAAUUGCGCCCUAAACUGACGAGCUGGAGUGGGACAGGGGUGUGUGGAACUUCCGGUGGAGCGGUGAAAUGUGUUGAUAUCGGAAGGAACGCCGGUGGCGAAAGCGACACACUGGGUCUCAACUGACGCUGAGGCACGAAAGCCAGGGGAGCGAACGGG
rnacentral:rRNA from 3 species